rnacentral:misc_RNA from 1 species
AAGUCGUAACAAGGUUUCCGUAGGUGAACCUGCGGAAGGAUCAUUAACAAUUGUCCAUUUUCCUUUGCAUAUGGAUGGUUCAAAUCCAUAUCCACCUUCGUGUGCACAUCAUCGACAUGUUCGCUUUGGCAGUUUGCAGGGAGAUCCUUUACCGUUUCUCCGUGGGAGGGAAAGGGGGGAGAGGAGAAUAGGAGAUGCUUUCUCCUUGCCUUUUCUCACCUCCCUUCUUCCUCCGGCGCUGCCAGAGUUUUUUUUUCCUCCUUUCACGUUGACAAACUUUUCUUGCUUUUUUUCUCGAAG